CGAAAGCGUGGGGAUCAAACAGGAUUAGAUACCCUGGUAGUCCACGCAGUAAACGAUGAUAACUAGCUGUUUGCGAUACACAGUAAGCGGCACAGCGAAAGCGUUAAGUUAUCCACCUGGGGAGUACGCCGGCAACGGUGAAACUCAAAGGAAUUGACGGGGGCCCGCACAAGCGGAGGAACAUGUGGUUUAAUUCGAUGAUACGCGAGGAACCUUACCCGGGCUUGAACGUAGGGAGACAGUUCUGGAAACAGAAUCUCUAGCAAUAGCUGCCUACGAGGUGCUGCAUGGUUGUCGUCAGCUCGUGCCGUGAGGUGUCGGCUUAAGUGCCAUAACGAGCGCAACCCACAUCGAUAGUUACUAACAGGUUAAGCUGAGGACUCUAUCGAGACUGCCAGCGUAAGCUGUGAGGAAGGUGUGGAUGACGUCAAAUCAGCACGGCCCUUACGUCCGGGGCGACACACGUGUUACAAUGGGAGGUACAAAGGGCAGCUACCUGGCGACAGGAUGCUAAUCUCUAAAACCUCUCUCAGUUCGGAUUGGAGUCUGCAACUCGACUCCAUGAAGCUGGAUUCGCUAGUAAUCGCGCAUCAGCCAUGGCGCGGUGAAUACGUUCCCGGGCCUUGUACACACCGCCCGUCAAGCCAUGGAAGCUGGGGGUACCUGAAGUAUGCAACCGCAAGGAGCGUCCUAGGGUAAAACCGGUAACUGGGGCU
rnacentral:rRNA from 1 species